CUAUAUAUAGGAGUAUGGCAUCCUCGAACUCAUAUGCAUGACAUGGCUUACAUAUAUUUUUCCCUUUAAAUUAAAUUUAAGAACACGCUCGCUCUUACAUCAGAUCAGACACAUGGAUCAAACCCUAAUAAUGGUUCGUUUCUGAAGUGCAUGCUGACACAUGGAUCAGACACUGCACGGGGCCGCAUCAUAUUGUAUUUUCCUCAACUUUGAAGUAUACAUAUGUUGUAUAUCGUUACUAUAUAUAUCAUCUAUGUAUAUAUGACUGUAUCUUCAUUCAUUCAUGGCCUCCGCGCCCUCCGAUCGUCAUGCACGACGCAUGAUCACGGUGACAGAGCUGCAAAGAAUAUAUAGGAGAAACAUCAACAAGAAUGUCAUGAGAGAUCAAAAUCUAGCUACUACUGUUAAUAAGUUGCAGGUAAGGUGGCCACUGUUAAGUUGCAGGGAACUGUCCAACAAGAAUGUUAGGAAGUAGCUAGCACAAGAGCAAGUUGCCUUGUUAUUUGCAUGCUAUAGUAAUAAGUAGUAAAAGUAAAUUGCAUUGCUCGCUUGCCUGCAGACGGCUUCUCCCAGACGUCAGGAAUGCGGCCGACC
rnacentral:lncRNA from 1 species